AUGGGUGGUGAAUUCUUUCGGAGCAUGACAGAACUACAGUUGAUUAUGUUAGAAAUGAAGGCCCCUGAGCUUGCAAACAUCUAUGUGUUCCUCAAGAACACAGGCUGUUCUAAUCUGGAGAGGCUUUUUGUGCAGCUCCCUACUGCACCGAGCGGGCUCUUGGUGGAUUCGUUUGACUAUGUGGGGUUAGAGCCACCACCGGAUGUUUUGGAAAACCUCAAGGUGGUAAAGAUUACGAAUUUCAGUUGGAACCGCUAUGAGCUGCAGCUGGUGUUUUUUUUGUUGAGGAAGACUAGCUCUCUUCAUAAAUUGGUACUGAUUACUCCCAGUUUGGAGCCGUUGCAUGUGCCCGGUAUCCAGAAGGCAGACCUUUUGUUUCUUGCAGAAGCUGUGGCGAAUGCAAAAGUAAUUCUCAGUGUGUCUGACCAUGCGGCAACCCAGCCAUUUCAUUCAGAUGUCUCUGCCGACUUUUAG
rnacentral:rRNA from 1 species